rnacentral:rRNA from 1 species
UAUGAUGGUUCGGUCGAUCCUCUUGGUUGGCUCCAUAGGUGUGAGCAGUUUUUCGGUGGACAGCAUACGGCUGAAGCUGACAAGGUCUGGACUACAGCGUACCACCUCACCAAUGAUGCUCAGUUCUGGUACUUACAGCUCGAGCGCGAUUUCGGCAUGCCGACAUGGGAGCAGUUUAAGGAAGCUUGCCAUGUUCAGUUUGGGCCGUCACUCCGUGUCAAUCCUUUGGGCGAGUUAGCACGUCUGCCAUUCACUUCCUCGGUUGUUGAAUACACCAGCAAGUUUCUAGCGCUCAUGUGUCGCAACAAUGAGCCAUUAACACCAUCCCAACAACGGUUUCUAUACACAGCAGGGCUGCCCGAUGGUCUUCGUGUUGACGUCGAACUUCAACGGCCAUCUGGCCUCCACCCGCCACUCCUUCGCCAAGGCCUAUGA